UUUUACCAAUCUGCCACCCUGAAUGCACCCUGAUUUCAACAGAUUUUGGGAGCUAAGUAGGGUUGGAGCUGGUGAAUACUUAAAGUGGGAGGCCAUCACAGAAUACAAGGAAUCUCUAGGUAGAGC
rnacentral:rRNA from 1 species